AACGAACGCUGGCGGCAGGCUUAACACAUGCAAGUCGAGCGCCCCGCAAGGGGAGCGGCAGACGGGUGAGUAACGCGUGGGAACGUACCUUUUGGUUCGGAACAACUCCGGGAAACUGGAGCUAAUACCGGAUAAGCCCUAACGGGGAAAGAUUUAUCGCCGAAAGAUUGGCCCGCGUCUGAUUAGCUAGUUGGUGAGGUAACGGCUCACCAAGGCGACGAUCAGUAGCUGGUCUGAGAGGAUGAUCAGCCACACUGGGACUGAGACACGGCCCAGACUCCUACGGGAGGCAGCAGUGGGGAAUAUUGGACAAUGGGCGCAAGCCUGAUCCAGCCAUGCCGCGUGAGUGAUGAAGGCCUUAGGGUUGUAAAGCUCUUUUGUCCGGGAAGAUAAUGACUGUACCGGAAGAAUAAGCCCCGGCUAACUUCGUG
rnacentral:rRNA from 1 species